rnacentral:lncRNA from 1 species
AAAUGCUUCUUUAGGUUACAGCAAAUAGUUUACUUAUCAAGAUCACGAUUGUUAGAUACUGUUGUCAAUUACAGAGGUUUUAGAUGAGGCUUUCUGGAAUGAUUUAGUUUCCCUGUAAGGGAGCCUGUCUAUUGGAAUAGACAGGUUCACUUCUCCCAGUCUUUCAAGUUGCAUGCUUUUUAUAUCUGAUUCCACUGGCUGAGCUGAUUGUGAAUGUCCUAACCCUGUUGAUAGUGUCUGGCCACUCAUGGGCAAAGAACAGAUUAUCCAUUCUUUAUAGUUGUCUUUUAGUUUUACAAGUUGAAAAAACAUCUGAGUAGGUUAGAUAAUUUAUUCUACCACUUUGUAAAUGAUUAGAAUAUGUCAGUCAUAAUCAUGCCAAGAGAUUAUGGAUUUAUGCAUAUUUUGUUUUGCUGU